rnacentral:rRNA from 1 species
GGUAAAGCUACUAAGGGCAUACGGUGAAUGCCUUGGUACAUGGAGGCGAUGAAGGACGUGGUAAGCUGCGAUAAGCCUCGGUGAGGUGCAAACAACCUUAGAUCCGAGGAUUUCCGAAUGGGGCAACCCAUCCCGGGUAAUACCGGGAUACACCCAUCUGAAUACAUAGGAUGGGAUGAGUCAACGGGGUGAAUUGACACAUCUUAGUAACCCCAGGAAAAGAAAACAAAAGUGAUUUCCUAAGUAGCGGCGAGCGAACGGGAAAGAGCCCAAACCAUAAUCGUGUUAAAGCCCGCAGGCGUUGCGGUUAUGGGGUUGUGAGGUAGUAUCUGAGUUGGUUGCGGACGACUCGGGGAGUCAAAAAAUCUGCGAUUAGCCAAACGGAAUGGAAAGUCCGACCAUAGAAGGUGAUAGUCCUGUAGGCGAAAAUCAAUGAUCUUCCUGGAUACUAUUCUCAAGUAACACGGUACACGUGAAAUUCCGUGUGAAACUGCCAGGACCAUCUGGUAAGGCUAAAUACUCCCAUGUGACCGAUAGUGAACUAGUACCGUGAGGGAAAGGUGAAAAGUACUCCUAACGGAGAGUG